rnacentral:rRNA from 1 species
UAGGGAAUCUUCCGCAAUGGGCGAAAGCCUGACGGAGCAACGCCGCGUGAGUGAUGAAGGUCUUCGGAUCGUAAAACUCUGUUAUUAGGGAAGAACAAAUGUGUAAGUAACUAUGCACGUCUUGACGGUACCUAAUCAGAAAGCCACGGCUAACUACGUGCCAGCAGCCGCGGUAAUACGUAGGUGGCAAGCGUUAUCCGGAAUUAUUGGGCGUAAAGCGCGCGUAGGCGGUUUUUUAAGUCUGGUGUGAAAGCCCACGGCUCAACCGUGGAGGGUCAUUGGAAACUGGAAAACUUGAGUGCAGAAGAGGAAAGUGGAAUUCCAUGUGUAGCGGUGAAAUGCGCAGAGAUAUGGAGGAACACCAGUGGCGAAGGCGACUUUCUGGUCUGUAAAUGACGCUGAUGUGCGAAAGCAUGGGGAUCAAACAGG